rnacentral:rRNA from 1 species
GAUGAACGCUGGCGGCGUGCCUAAUACAUGCAAGUCGAGCGAACAGACGAGGAGCUUGCUCCUCUGACGUUAGCGGCGGACGGGUGAGUAACACGUGGAUAACCUACCUAUAAGACUGGGAUAACUUCGGGAAACCGGAGCUAAUACCGGAUAAUAUAUUGAACCGCAUGGUUCAAUAGUGAAAGACGGUUUUGCUGUCACUUAUAGAUGGAUCCGCGCCGCAUUAGCUAGUUGGUAAGGUAACGGCUUACCAAGGCAACGAUGCGUAGCCGACCUGAGAGGGUGAUCGGACACACUGGAACUGAGAAACGGUCCAGACUCCUACGGGAGGCAGCAGUAGGGAAUCUUCCGCAAUGGGCGAAAGCUUGACGGAGCAACGCCGCGUGAGUGAUGAAGGUCUUCGGAUCGUAAAACUCUGUUAUUAGGGAAGAACAAAUGUGUAAGUAACUAUGCACGUCUUGACGGUACCUAAUCAGAAAGCCACGGCUAACUACGUG